rnacentral:lncRNA from 1 species
AAGAACGAAGAUCAACUUCUCCAUCGCUUGCCAGCUGCGAUAUCACUCUGCUGCUCAGCUUCCCGCGUCUUUUCGUGUGCCUGGAUUUGAAGAAAAUCAUCUGCGAGGUAAGCUGAUUGUGUGAUUUCAUCCCCUGAAUCUCUCUUCCAAUUUCAAGUUGAUGCUUACUAUUGGUAGAUAAUUUCUUAUUUGUGCUGAAUCGGUCAGGAUUUCUGUGGUCUGGAUUUGAAUUUUCCAUCAAUGGCUCGUGUGGAAUCACCUGCAUUAUGCAUCAACGAUGUUCUGGCUCCUCAUCUACUGAUGGAAAUCUUGAUUCGCGCCCCUUGGGACGAUUUGCUUCCGUGUAAGAACGUCUGCAAGCUUU